CCAGGUGGGUGUCAGGAAAGGUCACUGUGCACAUCGGAGACCUUGCUUUCAGCUUCCCUUGUCUGUCACCGGGUGCUUCCAGAUCAUUCACACUCUGUUCCUGUUGACAGGAGAAAAAGGAGAUUUGAAUUUGCAUCGUGCAGUGAGCCUGUUCUGUCACUGGGUGGGCUCUACUGCAGUCCCUCCCCAGGUUUCCGAUUACAGCUUUGGUAGUGGUGCUCUGGGCAUGUGACUUCUCACUGCUGGAACUUGGUGAAUGGGAUGUGCAGAAUAUUAUCUAGGAAUGAAGAAGAGGCAUCGUGUUGGGGAACCAGCUCAAGGAUGGCAUUACCAGACCUGGUCUUAGGUCUAAUGGGUGGAGCUGAAUGAAGCGGUUGGUUCCAUAGGUCAAAAGCAGCCCAGUGUGAACCAUCCCACCUUUUCAUCCUGCUGAAUGUAUGCAGAGUCACGGAGUCUUUCACUGAGAGAGCAUGGCUGGGCUGUCAUUUUAUCAGUGUCGACAGCCUCUCUCAUUCCUUUUCAGUCACCUAUUCAGACUCAGUUACAACAAAUACUUGUUGAAAGUGUUAGGGAACCUCUCUGAGGUCCGCCUCAGUGAGGACCCCAGGGAGUCCAGUGCCUACACCUGCUUGAACUCAUCACUCUCUUUGUUUUCUCAUUUUUUUUUUUAGUUGUAGAUGGACACAAUACCUUUAUUUAUUUAUUUCAUGUUGAGGAUCCAACCCUGUGCCUCACACAUGCCAGGCAAGUGCUCUACCACUGAGCCCCAGCCCCAGCCUGAACUGGUCAUUCUUGGAAUCUCAUCUCUGAAAACCCUCAGAGGAGCGAUGGCACAGACAGCUAACGGAAGCAAAGACCAGCAUGGGAGGGCCUAUGUGCCCUGCAGAGGAGUGUAGGAUACUGUCACACAGUGUCUCCCAAAGUGGAAGAGCCUUGGGGAGUCUCCCACCUGCCCGGAGGCGGCUUGACCUAGGGCAGAGGGAAGUGGGAUGAUAGCUUCCCCAAGGAUGUGCACAAGGAAAGCAUACACAGCGAGCUGCGUCUCUUCAUUAUGCAGAAUGCUUACUGACCUCUCAAAUGGGAGAGCAACUGGCAGUCACCUUCCCUCAGCAGGUCCUGAUGUUUUGCUUAUCACACAGAAGGCCACUGCCAGUCCCCGUAAACCCUGGGGGAAGGGUGCACACCUGCAGGCCCGCUCCUCCUGCUAGUUGUCCCUGGAAAGGCCUUUUCCUUAUUCUCAGAAAUGGAAGGUCUUUCCGCUGGGAAUUCAUGCCGUCCCCCUCCCUCUGCCAGAUAGCUUUCCCAAUCACUUUCUGACACGCUGCACACACUGUUGUGGAAUUCCUGGGAAAUGCAGUGUUGGGGAAGUCCAGGAGUAACCUGAAGCCCUGUCCUGGUGUGUGGUCACAGGGGAUGCUGAGGGACAGGCUGCUGUGUGGGUUGGGCCAUGACUCAGCCCAGCACAGCCUCCCACCCACCAUCCAGCAAUGCUCUGUCCAGGGGGUGGAAGAGAUCGCUGGCCACAGCAAUAAGCAUGAGGUCAAGCUGCAGACCGUGAAGAUCAGGAACAUGUGCGGCCCCCAACGGCUCCAGGGGGACUCCAGCUGAGUCAUCCAAGGUGACACAGGUCAAAAUGAGGACACAACUGCCUGUCUCGCUCAGAAGUGUAUGCGAACAUCAGUGUCUGACACAGAAUCUGAGCUGGCUGUGCUCACUGGCUUUUUAAACACUGCUUCUGCAAAUACAGAGGACCACAGACUUUGGAAAAUGAAUGUCAUUUUUUUCUUGGAAUGGAAGUGGCUCUUACUUCCACUCACCCAGAAAGGCAGAGCUCAGGUGUCUGGAAGACAGGACUGCUGGGCUCGCCACAGCUGCUUGCAUGUCCUCCAACCCAGUGUCACUAAAUGGCCUCCUGAACUGUGUCACUCCACUGGACCUCCCCUGUCCUGCAGCAGGGCUGGCAGUGUGAGCUGGCUCAGGCAAGGGUGGGCAGUCCCACCGUGGCCCCCACAGGCAUGGCACAGCCACCCAGCCGAUGGGGCCUGCCUCCACCCUCCAUGAAGCUGGUGCUGGACACACCACUGUAGACACCUUGAGGCCUGUGCUGAUUGUCCUGAGGGCUGAGAUGCUGGCCUCUGCUGCCCCCGUACCAGGGCCAGAGCUGCACUACUGAAACCGCUUCCCCAGCAUGGGGGGGGGGGGCACCUGACUGACAUGAUCUCCCAGAGCCUUGCAAAGAGCCAGCAGCAUCCGGCAUCCUGCCCCACACGAAGGAACGAAGAAGGCAGAGGCUGUUAAGACAAAAAGUCCUCCUUCUUUUUUGGGGGGUGACCCAAUGCUGGGAUUUUCCCUUGAGGUAGAUGGGCAGAGUCAGCUCACUGACCAGCCCUGGGAGGAGGUGAUGAGCUCCACAGGCUUCUCCCAGGGAAGGUGGCCUGAGCUUUCUGACCUGCACACUGCUCUUCCUGCUUGGCCACGCACAGGAAGCAGGCUAGUCCUGCAAUUCUAUGCUGUGCUUCAUCCUUGAAAUUCACCAUGUUUCUUAUUUAACUUAAGGGGCAAUGUAAGAUUUCAAGCCUGCACAAUAGAGAUGUUUAAAAAAAAAAAAGUUCUCUGAGACCUCAGCAGCAACCCUGCUAAGACCCUUAGCAUCAAAUCUCUCUGGACUAGAGGCUGGGACCCCCCCCCCCAACACACACACACACACACACACACACACACAGGCUGGCUCUGAAUCAGUCCCUCCGGGAGGCUUCUGUGCACAGGACAGAUACCCCAGCUGCUCCUGUGGAGGGUGGAACUGCAGGAAAGUCCCCCAGCAUCACUCCUGGAGUGUGUCACAGCCCUGGGGCCAGACUCACACGGGCUCUGGCUGAGAGGGCUUCCAGGGAUGGGGAUGAGGAGCCAAAGUAUCCUUCUGCAUUGAAAGUAGGAGGUCGUACAAGUUUCAACUAGAUAUGAUUUACAUAGCAUUCUCCCCUGGAGAACAUGACUUUUUUCUGGACCUUAUACAUGCCUGAACAAAAAUAUUUUGAAGUUUCCUCACUAUUCAUAGGAAUUAAAAAUACAAAAUUACUUCCCUAUGUGCACAUUUAAUGUGGAUGUUAGCUUAUUCAAAAUUAAAUAUAAAAUUUCAUUAUGCCAGUUGCUAUGAAGAAGCUUCCUUUCAGUCACAGGGAAUUAAUUCUUUGGUUGUUAAGGGACAUAGGAAGCUCAUGUGAACUUCUGUGGCAUGGGCUGCUGACAUCUUCCACACUGUGCCCGCCUCUGCCACCCUAGGCUCCUGGGGAAUACCACCUUGUCACGCCCACCGCAUGCCUUCCCCAACACCAGAAUUUACCUAGUUAAGAGCCAGCAAAUUGAAAGGUUAAUUAAGAAAGAAAAUACAAGAAGUGAAGAAAACCUAGUCUCAGAGGCUCACCAGGGACUCGGGAUCUCAGUACAGAAUGUGCUCAUCUGCCUGCAGCUGUUCAUGCAAUUAUUGUUCUUCAAGGUCAUGGCCUCCUUAGGCCAAAUUAAAUGGGGGCAGAGUCUCUGGCACACAUGACCACGGUGGGAGGGGGCCUGCCCACAGUGCUGAGGGAGACCCAAGUGAGUCCUCAUUCCCGCCCAGUUCCCACCUGCUCAGGCCGCAGCACAGUUUGGGAGGACCUUGAAACGUGCACUGGCUGCACAUUCCAGAGCUGCCAGGGAGCACUCCCCACGGAGCCCGUUUUCACUGAGGAGUGCACACCACUUGCUCUAAAAGUAAGACAGCCUGCUGACUCUGAGGACCUGAGACCUGACCCACUGCCCUGAGGGUCUGGGGGACAUCCAAUAGCCCAGCCGUGAGGAUCCACCCAGGAAAGAAAACCCAGCCCCACCCUGGGCAGGUUUCUCUGUGCAGCACAGAAACGGCACCACCACAGGUCAGCAGUAAGUCCCUUACAUCAGGUGGCAGGGGUUGGGUCUCUUCCACCAGAGUGGACUGACAUCCUGUAAGUUGUUUUUAUGAAGGACACUUUAAGACUGCAUGGACAGUGAUAUUCCUGACCGUGCAUGGGCACUAACAAGUAACUGAUGCUCCCCCGGCCUGGCACAGGUCUCCUGAGUCACACAGAGUCACGUCCUAACCCUCCCAACACGCUACCCAGCAGCGGCUUGCCAGCCCCCAUGCAGAGGGGAAUGACUCAGGUGAUGCCUGCUGCAUCAGUGCCUGAGUCCUGUGGCAUGCCUCCAGCGUGUCUCCGUAGGGUUUCUGGGGUGACGGGGUCAAGUCUGGUGGGACUUCACUGGGGGGAGUACAUUACUGAGAAUUCCCUGAAGAAAAGCUUCAGUGUAGACGGUGCUCUUAAAGCCCCCCUGCUCAGGCUGGAAGGUGAGGUACAGGGCACCUGCUCCUCUCACUUGCCAGUCUCACCUGCUGCAGGCGCUCAGGGUGGGGACCACAUGGUGGCAGGCUGUGCAUGGGGUGUUGGUGUUUGCAGUGAGAGCCUUCUGCCUGGUGACUCUCCCGCAGCCAGGAGAAUGUGGUUCUCUGAGCCCACGCUCCUCACUGCCUGCAUUAGUCACUGCAGCCUACCAGUGCUGGCGGGGUGGUCCUUGGCAUGAGAGAGGGAGAUCACACCAGGAGGGCUGCAGUAAGGCUCUGAGAGGCAUCGAGGAGGGGAGGGGAGAGUGAAGAGCAGGGAGAGAAAACCCAGCUCAGAGGGCAGCCAGACAGGCAUGAAGAGGGUUCUUAGGCACCGCAUGCGUAGAGACGGCUUCUGACAUACAUCUCACCAAAAGUGGUUCCAAGGUGGGAGUCUCUGGUUGCAGGGUCAAGGCAGGCGCCAUCAUCUACGUCACUAUGCUGAGUUUUGGUGUCUUCUAAAGCAAAUACACACUGCUGUCAUGCUCAUAAAUGUAUGUUUUAGGGCACAGACUGUCUUUAAAAAGAGGGAUGCUGGCCAACGAGACUGCUAUGUUGUGGGCACGUAUGGACACGUAACAACAGAUCCCAUCGUGCCUACAACCACACUGCACCAAUGAAAGAUGGGGGAGUUAAAGUGCAUGACGGAUUGAAAACCUGGCGAUAGGAAGGAGGACUGGGACAGGGGCUUUCUCUUGCUUCUGUUCUCUAGCACGAACCUGUGAGAGUCCUAGGUCCUGCUCCUGAGGCACACGCCAUCGCCAGCCUGAGAACCGUCAUGGCUCCCACCUUUGGCUGACAAAGUGUGUCCCUCCCCGGGUGAGUCCUACCUUCAUCUCACCUGUCCUGUGUGCACCUGUGGAAGGCACUGGCGACAGGUCAGCUGACACUCCUUUUCAACUGGGCAGUCGCUGUUCUCUCUAGGGCAGGUGUCACUUCCCCUGCAGGUGCUGAGGUGGGGACUUCCCCAGGUCCUCCUUCAGUGCAAGCUGAGGGCUCACCUGGUGUGGAGAACAGACCAAGAACUCAGGUGUCUGGGAAAACACGCUGCUCACAGCAUCUCUGAGAACAAAGGCAUUAAAGUGAGACGCUCCUCAACUCAAGCACCCGCCGUGAGUGUCCCUCCUCUGGAACAUCUGGCCUCCUCGAGUGUGAUGAGGACUGAGUAAGCCAACAGCCACAGACCUCCAGAAGUCUCUGUGUGUCUAGUGUCCCCUGGGCAUCGCGUAGCCAGGUUCCAAGGUCCCUCAGCCUACAGCUGAGACCUGAGGCAAUUACCACGACCAGUGGUUACCUGACUCCAAUGCGGAAACGGAAGCUCCCAGUUCUGCUCCCUUAGGGAAAAGCCCCAUCCUAGUAAAUAUCCCCAGGGGCCCAGCCAGUCCCAGUAGCCUGUGCACAGACACAGUGGUGGACAUGCACUCCGGGCCAGAGCCAGUGGGGAGGGCAUGGGCCUGGGGCCAGACUCCCAGGAAAGCCCGUCACCAGCAGAAGAGAAGAAACUCAACAGAGCACAGCAUCUGAGAGAGGAGCCGGAAUGGGUCCUGCCCAAAGGCAGCUCCACGCCGCUUCUGGGUCUGAGCUGGUGGCUCCAUUGCUGGCUGCAGUGAGCGUGAGAGGAUCCCCAUCCCUGGAAACCUGAGUGAUUCUGAGCUCAAAACCCUCCUCAGGCUGGGGCCUGGCACUUGCCACAGUGGCAGGACGCUUGCUGAGCAUGUGUGAGGUAAGGCUCCAUCCUUAGCACCACAUAAAAAUAAACAAAGGCAUUCUGUCCAUCUACAACUACCAAAAAACAAAAAUUAAAUCCCUCCCUUGCCCAGUGUUUAGGAUUGAACGGGGUGUUCAUAAGGAGCCCCAUACAGAGUGGCUUCUGCCCCGUGAACCUUCACAAGCACAAAGAAGCGUCCCCACCAAGAACCACAAAUCCCCAAAUCACAAAGGCUCCCUCUGGCAGGGUGAGAGCCCGCACUGGACUCUGCCGGCACUCACAGCAGUGGCCCACCCAGCCCCACAACCACACACACAGCACAGGAGGAAGAGUCACUGCCGAUUCAACAGAUGAGAAAAUGCUCAAGGAUCACUAUUAAGUACCUGUCCCUAAAAGACCCAAGCACGAUUAGCAAGGGAACAGGAACAGAGCUUAUACUGGCCCCUUGUUCCUCCUCUGGCAUGUGCAGCGGGUGGCUUCAGAGACAUCUGAGACUGCUGGCCCAGGUGAGCUAGCAGGGCUCCCUCCUGCAGGCCAGAAGUUAAGAAGCGUGGUCUCAGCCUUGGGGACGGGAGCUCUGACCUGGGUUCACCGGGGGAUGGUGGUCUAGGGCAUAGCUAUUUGCAGGAAUUUGAAGCAUCCUAGAGAUGUUAAAUUUACUCCCGUCUAGUUGGACACCCAGUCAUGGAAGUUGCUGGAAAGACUUGGCCAUCUGCCACUUCCAUCCAUCAGGGAUGUUUUGAGCUGGAGAGUUCUGAGAUUGAGUGCUGGGCUUCCCACCUGGAAAGACAACCUUUACAGUGGGCGGCGGGACCCACCCACAGGACCCACCCUUGCAGGCAGGGGAGUGGGCACCCAGACUCCACCUACAGCAAGACUUAAGAGAACAACUCUGCCAACCUGCUUCUGCUACGGCAUGGCUGAAUCCCUUGAGUCAGACUGAAGUACUGAAAGAAAGACGGACGGGAAUAAAUCUACAUGUUCAUUCAAGAGUCUCCACAUCAGAUGAAUGCAAAUCGUGCUCUGGGUUUCUGCAAGUGAGAUCAGGACGCAAACCAAGAGUAUUGUGAAACUGGAAGCACUUGCUGUUCCUGGAGGCCCAGAUUACAGAAUUAUCUAUUCAGCUGGACGUGCAGUGUGAGUAUUAAGAUCACCCCCAGAAUCACCGAGACCCUGGAGAAAGGUGUACCAUUGUAAACCUAUCAGGUUUCUGAGAUCCAGUUCCGAGCAAUGUCUUGGUCAGCUUGACUUCAGCGUGCUGCAGAUCCCCUGCCAUCAGGCUCAGGAUCCUGGAGCUAGUCCAAUCGUCUACUCAGAUACCCACCCACUCCUCAACCCUGGAAAAUGACCAGUACUCACUGCAGAGAGGUGGGGAGCACCUGCAGUUUGCAGACAGGGCUGGGUGCCUGUGCAAUGGCGAGGAGUCCCAGCCCCAUGGAGCUCAGCCGAAUUCUAAUGGAUUUCAAACCAUGUGAGGGCCUUGGCAGGACACAAGCAAGGGCUUGUGUCCCUGGCUCCUGCUCAGGGCCAGUGAGUCUCCUCUGGGAUGUGAAACACACGGAAAACUGAGAGAAGAGCAAGGCAGACAGUGUGGAAAGAAGCCUGGGUCCACGCUGAGUCUGGCUGGGGGGACUGGGGGCUGGCUGGAGUCGUGGGGAGCAGGACUCUGUCAUCUAAACAUGGGAAGUCAGCCAUGGCUUGGAGACAUGAAUCUAGGACAGUGGGGCUGGGAUCCGAGGGCUCAGCCAGGUUUUACCAAGAUUCCUCCGAGUCCUUUUGUACAAACACAGAGGACUGCUUGACUACUGAGUACACAUCACCGCUAAACUGACUGUGAAAAUGGUAAAACUGGAUCUCCCUGUGUCCAUCCAAGUCCAUCUCAAAAACAUGAAUCUUAAUUUCUGAAGGUUUAUUUGCAGAAAGUUACCAUAUAAUGCCAUUUACAUGCAUUCUAAACACAGAAAAUACCAGUGUCUUUUAAGGACGUGAAAACCAGGAAGGAAGGAGAGGCAGGAGUCUGGGGUAGGAUACGAAGAGGAAGGGGGCAGGAAGGGUGCUUCCUGCAUCCUGGGGUUUCUAAGAGUAAGAGUCACCUCUCAUGACAAAUGACAGCCAACUGACAGCUGUCUGGGGUCUGCCACACCUGAACAGUAAGCACUAGUUCUUUUUGACAAUUGUGCUGCCCGUUUGUGAGAAUACUGAAUGAGGGACUCUCAAAUCCUAACCAAACAGAUCAAAGAGGCGGGAGAGGGCAUCUUACCCCUGAUCAGGACCCGUGACGUUCUAGUUGAACCCAACCCAACGGUGGGUGUGAUCUUGCACGUCUCUCCUCUUAGAACCUCAGCAGCUGCGAGUUCUGACUUUCAGGGGCUGGAAGACUGAUUCCAUGUGGGUGAAGCUAGAGCUGCACUUGCCGUCUGGAUGCUGGGGCCUGGGGCCUGGCAGAGGAGAAACGGGAGGCGCCUGGCCCAGGCCUGGUGGUCUGCCCUCCCCGGGGAGGAGGGAGGAGGCUGAAGACUGAGGGUGAUCUGUCACUGUGGAUACUUCUGCCACUACUUCUGAACCAGAAUCAAGACCUGUGAACUAGAAGUUUCCUGCCCCGUGUUCCUGCUGGGCGGGCUCCAGGGUGGAAGCACAUUUGUCUCCAGCCAUGCCCGAGACUGAAUCGGAGCAAGCUGGGCCACCAUUUCCUGUUUUUGCAAACUCUUUUUAACAUCUGUGACAUCUGGAUAAAUAUGGUUUAUAGGUGAAAGUUGCCAACGGCGAUUUUGAUUUCACGUUUCCCCCUUAAAAUGAAAGUUUGGAGUCAAUAGCUUCAAUAUACACAGGGUGAGAGAACAGUUCAGGCUCAGACGCUCUUUUGCAAAACAAGGGUCCAACUUUGGCAAAAUGUCAUUUAAGACAUCAAUGGCAAACAGCAAGGGUGGAGCCGCAGCCUCAGGUGUGAACUGCAGGGCCUGGAGAGAUGUCACGGGCCGCGUCUCCCUCCUGAGGUCCCUCCAGGGCUGAAACUUCAUCCCUGUGCCUGGGACAUCUGUGAGACACCAAGACCAGGAGAGGGGCUCUGCCUCUGCACAGCUGGGUCUCCAGUCCUGACCAGCUCCCGAGGGCCCAUGCUGGGGGCAGGGCUGGAAGUGGCUCCAGCCUUGGGACCACCCCCACCAGAAGAGCAUUCCUGAUGCUCUGCACCUUCUCCCUGGGGGUCCCGGACUGGCCCUAGCUAGGAGACUUUCCUACAAAGGGACUUCCACAGACCUGUGAAUGUCCUGAGAGUACGAGGCCUGCCCAGAGGACGAGAGCACCACACUUUGUCAAAGCACAGCAGAGGGGUGGCAAGAUGGCAGGAAGGCAGGCCAAGCCUCAAGAAUACAGGUCCCAGUGCAGCUCUGCUUUGAAUGGGGCACAGCAAAGAACCCCAGCAAGGCAUGGCCUCCGGUCCCUGCUGCCUUAGCACCGCAGCCUGCCUGUGCAGGGCCCCCAUGCCCAGCCCACCCAGGGGGGCCUGCCCAGGCACCCGCAGGGAAGCUGCACUGCUAAGGAGCUGACCCUUUGCUCCCCGCACCACCCAGAGCUGCGUGCAGGCUUUGCAGCCUCUCUCUAGUCUGCUCUGAUAUUACAGCCACCCCCUCUGUGGCUUCCACUGCACGGAGACCCCUCCUGUCCCUUCACCUCAGCCUGUCUUCAAAGGCUCACUGUGUCUCCCCGAGGCAGCAUAUAUAGCUAUUCCACACCCCCACAGGGAAUUGAACCCAGGGUUGUUUUACCACUGAGCCACAUCCCCAGCCCUUUUGGAGAUAAACUCUAAGUUACCCAGGCUGGCCUCUAACUUGCAAUCCUCCUGCCUCAGACUCCUGAGUCUACAGGUGUCAGUCACCAUCUCUCCAGGUCUUUCAAUUGGAGAACUGAACCCAUCUGAUCUCAGUGUGUUCACAGACAUUUAAAUCAGUGGACUCUGAGUAAAACAGGUGGCCUCCCUGAGUGUGGGCCUCCUCCAGUCAACUGAAGGCCUCGGACAAGAAGGAGAGACCUCUGCGUCCUCUGCUCUUCCCGGAUUGUUAGCUUUCUGAUGCUGUGACUCAGCACCCAAGGUGGGCAGGGUCUUUGCCACGCCAUCUCAUCCCGAGACCUCAACUCAUGGCCCUCUGUCAAACACGCUCAUGGAACGUACCCCUUCCUUCGGAGCACUGAUGUGUCUAUUAUACGUGAACUGACAGGACUGCACCUUCUGUCCUCUGCUGUAUCAAGAGUAAGCUGCAAGGGGUUGGGCCGAGGCUGUGCCGGGCCCUCAGCAGGCACCACAGUCAUGAAGGCAGGAGACACGAUGGCACAGGACUGCAGGGAUGCGGGCUUCCCUUCACGAGGCCCUGUUCAACUGUCUUGUCUAGCUGAGAAGGGUUGGUGGGUAGGCUCCUGGAAGUUGUGGAUUUUUUUUAAAGUUAUUCAUUGUUAAAUAUUUUUACAAAUAUAUUCUGAGUUCCAACACUAUAAUCCAACAUAACCACAAUAAUUUCAAGAGAAAAGACAAAAUGGAGGCCACUUUUGAGAGAAGAACCCCUGAACUCCAGGGGAGGGCCAGCGUGGCCCUGCUGGUUUGGGUUGGGUAACUAGCUGCUCAGAGGGCAGCUCUGAAGCCCACUCUGCAGUAGACCUCCUUGACCAGGGCUCUAGGAGCAAGGCGGCUCAGAGGCAAACAGCUGCCUAAGCAAUUCCAGAGCUGCAGCAAGCUAUUAAGGAGCGAUUGAUGCUCUUGGUACUUAGGAACAACUGAAAUAGGAUCCCAGAUGGAGGCACUUACAACUUGUGUGCCUCUUGGAUCCAGUUCAGGGAAAGACCCAGAAAGCAUGCGUACAGAGACAGAAAGCUUCUACCUGCCAUUGCUGCUGUGUGACGUCUGCUGGAACAUGAGGAGAUCCCGUCAAACUCGCACUGUCUGGGGAAAUGUGCAGAGUCCAUGUGACAAUCCCCAAAACACACUUCCAGAGCCCUCCAGCCUUCCAUGGAAAAGUGCCCCAGGAGCCACGUCGGGGCCUGGACACAAGAACACCAAAGGACGCACACACACCCUGCUGCCUGGGAAGGCGUAGGUCCAGCAAUCCACUAUCCGUAACAUUUAGGAGCUUUCUCUCCUCCCGCUGAGCCCACGGUUGCCUUAAACGCUGAAAGCAAAACACUUUGACUAUUUUCUUUCUGUGCUUUCUGAUGAUAUGAUCACACAUGUCCAUGCAACGGCAUG